rnacentral:tRNA from 1 species
CGUGAGAUAUCUCAAUUGGUAGAGGACGCCGGCUCAAACCCGGUGCGUUGUGGGUUCGAUUCCCUCUCUCACGACUA